rnacentral:rRNA from 1 species
UGGGGAAUCUUGCGCAAUGGGCGAAAGCCUGACGCAGCGACGCCGCGUGAGUGAUGAAGGCCUUCGGGUUGUAAAGCUCUGUGGAGGGGGACGAAUAAGGGUUGGCUAAUAUCCAACCUGAUGACGGUACCCCUUUAGCAAGCACCGGCUAACUCUGUGCCAGCAGCCGCGGUAAGACAGAGGGUGCAAACGUUGUUCGGAAUUACUGGGCGUAAAGCGCGUGUAGGCCGCUUGGAAAGUCGGAUGUGAAAGCCCUGGGCUCAACCCAGGAAGUGCACUCGAAACUUUCAAGCUUGAGUUCUGGAGAGGGAAGCGGAAUUCUCGGUGUAGAGGUGAAAUGCGUAGAUAUCGGGAGGAACACCGAUGGCGAAGCGAUCUCCUGGGCCGCCCUUGACGCUGAGGCGCGAAAGCGUGGGAGCGAACUGAAUUAGAUACUCAGGUAGUCCACGCCCUAACGAUGGACACUAGGUGUGGGGGUA